rnacentral:rRNA from 1 species
UACGUAGGUGGCGAGCGUUGUCCGGAUUUACUGGGCGUAAAGGGAGCGUAGGCGGACCUUUAAGUGAGAUGUGAAAUACUCGGGCUCAACUUGAGUGCUGCAUUUCAAACUGGAAGUCUAGAGUGCAGGAGAGGAGAAUGGAAUUCCUAGUGUAGCGGUGAAAUGCGUAGAGAUUAGGAAGAACACCAGUGGCGAAGGCGAUUUUCUGGACUGUAACUGACGCUGAGGCUCGAAAGCGUGGGGAGCAAACAGG